rnacentral:rRNA from 1 species
AUCCGGAUUUACUGGGUGUAAAGGGGGCGCAGACGGCAGCGCAAGCCAGGAGUGAAAGCCCGGGGCCCAACCCCGGGACUGCUCUUGGAACUGCGCGGCUGGAGUGCAGGAGGGGCAGGCGGAAUUCCUGGUGUAGCGGUGAAAUGCGCAGAUAUCAGGAGGAACACCGGUGGCGAAGGCGGGUCUCUGGGUAGUAACUGACGCUGAGGAGCGAAAGCAUGGGUAGCGAACAGGAUUAGA